rnacentral:rRNA from 1 species
CCUACGGGAGGCAGCAGUGAGGAAUAUUGGUCAAUGGGCGCGAGCCUGAACCAGCCAAGUCGCGUGAGGGAUGAAGGCUCUAUGGAUCGUAAACUUCUUUUAUAAGGGAAUAAAGUGUGGGACGUGUCCUAUUUUGUAUGUACCUUAUGAAUAAGGAUCGGCUAACUCCGUGCCAGCAGCCGCGGUAAUACGGAGGAUCCGAGCGUUAUCCGGAUUUAUUGGGUUUAAAGGGUGCGUAGGCGGCCUUUUAAGUCGGCGGUGAAAGUCUGUGGCUCAACCAUAGAAUUGCCGUUGAAACUGGGUGGCUUGAGUAUGUUUGAGGCAGGCGGAAUGCGUGGUGUAGCGGUGAAAUGCUUAGAUAUCACGCAGAACUCCGAUUGCGAAGGCAGCCUGCCGAGGCAUGACUGACGCUGAUGCACGAAAGCGUGGGGAUCGAACAGGAUUAGAUACCCCUGUAGUC